rfam:Candidate division Zixibacteria bacterium SM23_73 WORSMTZ_694, whole genome shotgun sequence.
GGAGAGGUGCGCCGAAUGGUAAGGCACAUGCCUGGAAAGCAUGGGCUCCGAAAGGGGCUUGCGGGUUCGAGUCCCGCCCUCUCCG